rnacentral:lncRNA from 10 species
CAGGCAUGAGCCACUGCACCCGGCCAUGUUUACUUACUUCUGUACUUGUUUAUCAUCUAUUUCUCCAAGGAGAAGGUGAGUUCCAGCAGAGCAUUGUUCCAAGUUACAGCAGCUUACUCACUGCUGUCUCUAGGGACUAGAACACAGAGUAAGUGCUCUGCAAAUGUCUGUCCAGCAGAUGGGCCUACUUCCCAUACUGCUUUGCCUUCUCAUUUCCUAGAUCCCUGCUAGUUGUCCCAGCCCAUCAGUGACCAUGUGCCUUCUCUGAACAGCUGACUGGACCUCACAGGGGAUCGGGGCCAUGGUGUCCUCAGGCCUCUAUUACCUCCCAUCCUGCCAGGCCUCAAGCUAGCUGCUUUCUCCACUACCCGCUGGUCUCCAAGGGAGAGAAAAGCAUGGAGAAGAAAUAUUUAGUGACCACUUCUGCAGACAUACAUCAGACUCUCUAUUAGAGGCUUUCCAUACAGUGUAUCUUUUCCUCCCCACACAGCAACUUCAUGAAGUGAAGAUGAGUCCCAUUUCACACCCCAGGGCAGAAGCUUGGGAAGAUGACACGGCUUGACUUCCAUCACAAACUAGCAGAUGGCAGAGUGAGAAUGUGGCCCAGGCCUGAUGACCCCAGGGCCAUGGCGGCCCUGGCCCUGCUCGGGUCCAGUACAAACUCAUGUGGCCUCACCCCUGCUGGCCCUGAGGCUCCAUGAAAGCAGGGCUGGGUUUGCUUUGUUCACCACUGUAAUUUCAGACCCAAGCGCAGCUGUCUGCCACAGAGUAGGUGCUCAAUAAAUAUCUGUUGAAUAACAGGGCGAAAACCUGCAAACAGACACUCAACACUGCUCUGUGCCAAUUCCCUUAACCCUCCUCCCAGAAACCACUUCCCACUCAACCUGAAGGCCCACCUGGGCUCCACUAAUCGCCAAAGGCCAUCUCUUCUUCUACUUACCAAGAAGUUUUAGAUCCCUUAAUAUUCAUUCUGUGUAUUUCAAAUUCCUCCUGUCUCUCACCUCUCCUCUUACUUGCUGCUGGCAUCAGAGGAAGAGGUUUGAGUACCAAUCCCAGUCAUCCCAGCUCCUGAGGGGGAUGGUUAGCUAAACCAGUGAUCUCACCUUACCCCUUCUCUCCCUACCUCCUCACCUUCAGCUUAGUGCUUACUUUUGAGACUCUCCUGAACCCUGCUUUACUCUUAGUUUUUUUGUUGUUGUUUGUUUGAGAUGGCGUCUCCCUCUGUCGCCCAGGCUGAAGUGCAGGUGUGUGAUCUCGGCUCACUGCAACCUCCGCCUCCCGGGUUCAAGCGAUUCUCCUGCCUCAGCCUCCCCAGUGGCUGGGAUUACAGGCGCGGGCCACCACGCAUGGCUAAUUUUUGUAUUUUUAGUAGAGACAGUGUUUCGCCAUGUUGGCCAAGCUGGUCUCGAACUCCUGACCUCAGAUCCCAGCACAGGAGGCUUCCUGAAGGCAACCAGUGACAUGCUGACAGCCAAACCGAAGUCUUUCCUCUUGCCCCUUCCAAAGGGUUGAAGGAUGUGGUUCUCUCCCAAAUUGUAAAAAUUAUCUCCUCCCCUGACUCAGAUGAUGUCAAAAUCACACAUCUGUUCACAUCACUUUUGAGUUUCCCUUUCCAUUUCUUUCGGGAUGAAUCCUAAAUUUGGCCCACAAUGCUCCUGCAUAGUGUGAGGCUAUGGGCCUGUCCAGAAGGCCUUGGCCCGCAUGCCCCUCCUGCUCCCUCAUCCAUUGAGAAUGGCCAGUGGGCUGGCCAUAUGCCUUCCCACCUUGGAGCCUUUGCAUAACCUGUUGCCUUUGUAGAGCCCUCUCCCUUCAUUGCAGCCUAUCCGCACCCUGGAACUAGGCAGGUUCCUGGUCACACUUGCUCUCAGAACCCUAUGCUUCUCCUCUAUAAUAGUCCCAACAACUGGAAACAGGACAACUGUGUAGCGAACUGUUUUAUGCCUUCUCCUCCACUCAGAGGGUAGUAGAAGUGUCUUGUUCACCAUAUGCCUAGAGGAGGGUCUGGCCAAGGGAUGCUCAGCAGAUGUUUCUGAAUGAAUGACAGAAGGACAAAUGGUUGUCCUACUCCACAGCAAUCUCUUUUGCUGACUCUCCCACUGCCCUUAAAAUACAAGGAUCUCCUUCUGUCCUUUCUCUGUCCUCCUCCUGUCUCACCUCUUCAAAGCCUUUGUUUAGGUUUCUUUUUCCUUUUCUUUCUUUUUUUUUUUUUUGAGACAGAGUCUUGCUCUGUU